GGGUUCGUGGGAUGUGGUGGAUUUAGGUUCGGAUCGAUAGCCGGUUAAAGAUUUAGGCCCAAAGGUUUGUCGUCUAUAAACGACGUUGAGGGAUAUGGUAUCAUUUGAAGUAACUCGUAAUUGUACACGGGAAUUGGUGUCACCAGGUUGCUAUAUAACUAAUGUUCAUAAUGAUCAUUAAUUGACACAAUUGCUGUUUAAGAAUAAUACAAAUGCUGGUG
rnacentral:lncRNA from 1 species